rnacentral:rRNA from 1 species
GACGAACGCUGGCGGCGUGCUUAACACAUGCAAGUCGAACGGAAAGGCCCUGCUUUUGUGGGGUGCUCGAGUGGCGAACGGGUGAGUAACACGUGAGUAACCUGCCCUUGACUUUGGGAUAACUUCAGGAAACUGGGGCUAAUACCGGAUAGGAGCUCCUGCUGCAUGGAGGGGGUGGGAAAGUUUCGGCGGUUGGGGAUGGACUGGCGGCUUAUCAGCUUGUUGGUGGGGUAGUGGCUUACCCAGGCUUUGGCGGGUAGCCGGCCUGAGAGGGUGAACGGCCACCUUGGGACUGAGAUACGGCCCAGACUCCUACGGGAGGCAGCAGUGGGGAAUAUUGCCCAAUGGGCGGAAGCCUGAUGCAGCAACGCCGCGGGCGGGAUGACGGCCUUCGGGUUGUAAACCGCUUUCGCCUGUGACGAAGCGUGAGUGACGGUAAUGGGUAAAGAAGCACCGGCUAACUACGUG